rnacentral:rRNA from 1 species
AUUGAACGCUGGCGGCAGGCCUAACACAUGCAAGUCGAGCGGAGCGGCCGACGGGUGAGUAAUGCCUAUGAAUCUGCCUGGUAGUGGGGGAUAACUUCCGGAAACGGGCGCUAAUAACGCCUACUAUCAGACGAGCCUACGCCGGAUUAGCUAGUUGGUGGGGUAAAGGCCUACCAAGGCGACGAUCCGUAACUGGUCCGAGAGGAUGAUCAGUCACACUGGAACUGAGACACGGUCCAGACGCCUAAGGGAGGCAGCAGUGGGGAAUAUUGGACAAUGGGCGAAAGCCUGAUCCAGCCAUGCCGCGUGUGUGAAGAAGGUCUUCGGAUUGUAAAGCACUUUAAGUUGGGAGGCGUUACCAACAGAAUAAGCACCGGCUAACUUCGUGCCAGCAGCCGCGGUAAUUC